AGAGCGUACGGUGGAUGCCUUGGCGCCAAGAGUCGAAGAAGGACGUGGUAAGCUGCGAAAAGCUUCGGUAAGCCGCAAGCAGGCGAAGAACCGGAGAUGUCCGAAUGGGGAAACCCGGCUGGAGUAGUAUCCAGUCAUCAAGCACUGAAUAAAUAGGUGUUUGAAGACAACCUGGGGAACUGAAACAUCUAAGUACCCAGAGGAAGAGAAAGAAAACUCGAUUCCCCGAGUAGCGGCGAGCGAAACGGGAAGAGCCUAAACCGGUUGCUUAGGCAACCGGGGUUGCGGGACUUUCAUGAGAAGUAAGGAAGCCUAGCCGAAGAGGUCUGGAAAGGCCCAUCACAGAGGGUAACAAUCCUGUAGGCGAAAGGCGGAAAUGCUCGAAAGUAUCCCAAGUACCGCGGGACACGAGAAACCCCGUGGGAAUCCGGGGGGACCACCCCCCAAGGCUAAAUACUCCUUGGCGACCGAUAGUGAACCAGUACCGUGAGGGAAAGGUGAAAAGAACCCCGGGAGGGGAGUGAAAAAGAACCUGAAACCGUAUGCUUACAAACUGUCAGAGCACUUUAAAUGUGUGAUGGCGUACCUUUUGUAGAAUGGACCGGCGAGUUACGAUAACGAGCGAGGUUAAGUCGAGAAGACGGAGCCGAAGCGAAAGCGAGUCUUAAUAGGGCGGAAAGUUCGUUGUUGUAGACCCGAAACUUGGUGAUCUACCCAUGGUCAGGGUGAAGCUCAGGUAAGACUGAGUGGAGGCCCGAACCGACUUACGUUGAAAAGUGAGCGGAUGAAUUGUGGGUAGGGGUGAAAUGCCAAUCGAACCAAGAGAUAGCUGGUUCUCCCCGAAAUAGCUUUAGGGCUAGCCUCAAGAGAUGAUUUAUGGCGGUAGAGCACUGUUCGAGCUAGGGGCCUAACCAGGUUACCGAACUCUCACAAACUGCGAAUGCCAUAAAUUUAUCUUGGGAGUCAGACUGUGGGGGAUAAGCUUCAUAGUCGAAAGGGAAACAGCCCAGAUCGACAGCUAAGGUCCCAAAGUGUGUGCUAAGUGGAAAAGGAUGUAGAGUUGCUAAAACAACCAGGAUGUUGGCUUAGAAGCAGCCACCAUUUAAAGAGUGCGUAAUAGCUCACUGGUCGAGUGACCCUGCGCCGAAAAUGUAACGGGGCUCAAGCACACCACCGAAGCUUCGGAUUCAAGAAGCAAGAUGCUAGAGGCAAGAAACAAGAGGUAAGACUAAUAAUCUUGCAUCUUGCUUCUAGCAUCUUGCUUCUUGAGUGGUAGGGGAGCGUACUGAACACGACGAAGGUUUACCGGAAGGAGAGCUGGAGAGUUCAGUAGUGAGAAUGCCGGUAUGAGUAAGCGAAAAGGCAGGUGAGAAUCCUGCCCGCCAAAAACCUAAGGGUUCCUGGGGAAGGCUCGUCCGCCCAGGGUAAGUCAGGACCUAAGUCGAGGCGAAAAGCGUAGAUGAUGGACAAUCGGUAAAGAUUCCGAUACCACCUGGAUCCGUUUGAAGGAAGGGGUGACACAGGAGGGUAGGUCAAGCGCACGGUUGGUAGAGUGCGUCCAAGCCUGUAGGGAGAAAGAUAGGAAAAACCGUCUUUCAAAGAUCCUGAGAGGUGAUGGGGAGCGAAAAUAAGUAGCGAACUGACUGAUCCCACACUGUCAAGAAAAGCCUCUAACGAGGAGCCAGGUGCCUGUACCGAAAACCGACACAGGUAGGUGGGGUGAGAAUCCUAAGGCGCGCGAGAGAACCCUUGUUAAGGAACUCGGCAAAAUGACCCCGUAACUUCGGGAGAAGGGGUGCCUUUGUAAUGUGAGGUUUUUAACAGACUGAGCAUGAAGAGGCCGCAGAGAAAAGGCCCAAGCGACUGUUUAGCAAAAACACAGGUGCCUGCAAAGUCGAAAGACGACGUAUAGGUGCUGACGCCUGCCCGGUGCUGGAAGGUUAAGAGGAGAGGUCAGCGGAAACGUGAAGCUUUGAAUUGAAGCCCCAGUAAACGGCGGCCGUAACUAUAACGGUCCUAAGGUAGCGAAAUUCCUUGUCGGGUAAGUUCCGACCCGCACGAAAGGCGUAACGAUUUGGGCACUGUCUCAACAAGGGACUCGGCGAAAUUGUAAUACCGGUGAAGAUACCGGUUACCUGCGACAGGACAGAAAGACCCCGUGGAGCUUUACUGCAGCCUGACAUUGGAUUUUGGUAUAUCACGUACAGGAUAGGUGGGAGACUAAGAAGAUGGGACGCCAGUCUCAUUGGAGUCGCUGGUGGGAUACCACUCUUGAUGUGCUGAAAUUCUAACUUCAAGCCGUAAGCCGGCUGAAGGACAUUGUCAGGUGGGCAGUUUGACUGGGGCGGUCGCCUCCCAAAGAGUAACGGAGGCGCCCAAAGGUUCCCUCAGCGCGGAUGGAAAUCGCGCGAAGAGUGUAAAGGCAGAAGGGAGCUUGACUGCGAGAGAGACAUUUCGAGCAGGGACGAAAGUCGGGCUUAGUGAUCCGGCGGUACCGAGUGGAAGGGCCGUCGCUCAACGGAUAAAAGCUACCCCGGGGAUAACAGGCUUAUCUCCCCCAAGAGUCCACAUCGACGGGGAGGUUUGGCACCUCGAUGUCGGCUCAUCGCAUCCUGGGGCUGUAGUAGGUCCCAAGGGUUGGGCUGUUCGCCCAUUAAAGCGGUACGUGAGCUGGGUUCAGAACGUCGUGAGACAGUUCGGUCCCUAUCCGUCGCAGGCGGAGGAAAUUUGAGAGGCACUGUCCCUAGUACGAGAGGACCGGGAUGGACAGACCACUGGUGUACCAGUUAUCCUGCCAAGGGUACAGCUGGGUAGCUAAGUCUGGCAGGGAUAAGCGCUGAAAGCAUCUAAGCGCGAAGCCCCCCUUAAGAUAAGAUUUCCCACAGCGCAAGCUGAUAAGACCCCAGAAAGACGAACUGGU
rnacentral:rRNA from 1 species